rnacentral:lncRNA from 1 species
AUUUAUCCUAAACUACAUUCCUUUUUAGUUCUGAUUUUUCAAUGAUGUUUCACCAAUUUUCUUUCUUGCAAAAAACUGAAAUACAGAAAAGUUGCCUGCAUCUAUCUUCAUUUCGAUGCUGCUCCCUACGUUGUCACUUCAUCAGAAAGAUAAUAAAUAACAAGUUUUACAAUAAUAAAUAAAAAAAAGCAUAUUCGAUAGACGUGGUGAAUCAGAUCUCCAUUAAAUAAUUAAAACCAGAAUCAGGGAAAAACCAUGCCACUCACUGUGGCUUGUCCAUCUACCUUUAACCAAACAAUGUACUUCAAUGGAUUGCAUAAGUAGUCUUCGGCAAAAUGAUCUUAUAAAGUGGCUGACCCGGAGGACUUACUAAUGUGAAGGUAAAUGAGCAGUUGCAGCAUGCUUGCUGAGACAUGACUGUUACUCUUCAAGCCAUGCCCCCCUUCUUAUUUGCAUCUUAGUUUAGAUCAGGCAAAUAGCUAAAAUGGCAUUUAAGGAGAGUGAGCAAAAACCGGCAUAUAAUGCCAUUUCACACUGUGAACACUUCAGCAAUGCUUAAGGAAUCAGCAUUAGUAAAAUG